ACAAACAGUGUUUGAGCAGCAGAGCAGAUGAGUUUGCUCUGUUCAUGUUUUUUAACCUUUGAUUUUAUAUUCCGUAAUAAUGGCUCAAAAGUAAAGGCUGUACAAAGAUGAUAUCAAAUGACGUCACCUACAAUAUGCUAACUUGGCAGAUUCCUCCUGGUGGGACAGGACCCUGUUGGAAGCUUUUCGGGUUCUCGGCUAUCUGAUGAUCA
rnacentral:lncRNA from 1 species